GAAAUGCGAUAAGUAGUGUGAAUUGCAGAAUUCAGUGAAUCAUCGAAUCUUUGAACGCACAUUGCGCCCUUUGGCAUUCCGAAGGGCAUACCUGUUCGAGCGUCAUUUCAACCCUCAAGCUCUGCUUGGUGUUGGGUGUUUGUCCUGCAAUUGCGUAUGGACUCGCCUUAAAACCAUCGGCGUUAGCAUGUUGGCCUUGAGCGUAGCAAAAUUCGCAAAGAGGCUGGGCGUGUUGGCUGCCGGAACAACCUAUUUUUUAGUUUGACCUCGGAUCAGGUAGGGAUACCCGCUGAACUUAA
rnacentral:misc_RNA from 1 species